AGGGUGAAAGAGCUACCUUCUGUUCAUCCCCAAAUAGGAAAAUACACUCGUCCUGACAAACCGUCCCCUCUGACUUUGGAAAGCAUACUGCCUGAAUGUGGAGUAAAGGAAGCCAAGGGUUUGAGUUCCUUCUGGACAAACUACGGAAAGUUUCUACCGAGUCUGGAAUGAGGAAAUAUCCGUCGUGUCCGCCAACAAGAUGAAAAUGAAGAGUGUUUCAUGACAGCUCUUUCUGCUCGCUGAUUUGUCGGGCAAACAACUAACCCAUCCACUCUCACUGCAAUUUGGAAAUCUUUCAAUAUUCAAACCCUUUUCCCCUGACUUGAGCUUUUGCAUCAUAAAUGAUUUGCAAAUGUCAGACUAGGAGGUUUUUUCUUAUUAUUAUAGUUAUUUGUUUCUUGAAAUGAAUUGAAGUGGAUUCUCCACUGGCACUUGUAUAACUAACUGUACAGGGCGAGUCAAAAAGUGAGUGACCGAGUUAGAACUAGCAAGCACUCAGAGAACGCAAACCUCCAUUAAGGCUUAACAAUUCUCUGCCGUAUUGUCAGUACACCUAAAAGAAAUACUGGCAAUGGUGAAGAUUCCUGUGAAAAAAAUCCUGGAUCCAGAUCACUUCCAAAGUCUAAUCGAUCUGUACUUUGCAGCAAGGACCACCUUAAAAAGUUUGUUUUGCAAAUCCAUCCAUAACUUUUUGAGUUUCCUUGUUAACAGACAAACCAACCAACCAACAAAUUAAUCAAACCCGAUGAAAGCAUAACCUCCUUGGCGGUGGUACAUGUAAUAAAUGCAAAACAUACGUUGCUCACUCUGUUUGAUAAAAUAAUAUGAUGUUGUUUACUAGUAGCUGUGAAGAUUUCAGGUGCUAUGCGUACUCUAUUCACAAGUUGUUUGUGUUUUAAUACAAAUAUCCCAAAAUACAGCUGUCCACCACUGGUCAUUUACCGAUACGCAUUGAUGAUUCCCCUUUUUAUGUAGGCCUACAAUAAGCCAUGGAGGUUUUCCUACUCUACAUGAAUGAAUGAAAACUUGUAAAGGAAAGAAACAAAAAUCACCAUCAUCGUUUCAGAAAAAGACUUGAUGUGUUCUUUAUAUACAAAACACAAAAUCUGACAGUGAAAUAAUGUCUGAGUUUUGACACAAAUUAUUACAAUCUCAUUUGUAUUUGAAUGCCCAAAUGUAAUCUCUGGUUCUAACUCAGCUGAAUAGCUUCAGAAUGGCAUUCCAUGGACAGGUAUAAAAAUGGGUUAUUUUAGUAAAACAUGCGUAACUGCUGAUUGCAUGGAUCUAUGCCAGUAAUUCUCUCUUUUUUAGAUAAGGGGAAGAACAUGCUCUUUUAAAACAUGCUUUAUUGUUUGUUUUUUUGUCAAACUUAAUCGUUGUAAGGAAAAGAAAUCAUCAGUGAAGGUCACUUUAUGUUUGGCACACCCAGUGGAGAAAGCUGAAGAGUGAAAUGUUCUAUUUUAGAGGCGGAAGUAAAACCCCAUUAAUUGUUUUGUGGAAAUCAGUGGACCAGGUCGAGACGGAAAGCCUCAAUUCACAAGUGGGCCUUGGUGGGAUUUGAACCUAGGCCAUCCAGUUGAAAGGUUAGGAAAGUUGCACUGCAUUAACCUGCACUCCUGGCAUUUAGCUUAGAAGGUUUUUUUUAUUAGCUUUUGUUUUAAACUUGGCAUUUGCCAUAUGAAUUUCAUAUACAUGUAGUUACUUUCAUUGAUUUUGUUAAAAGUUGAACUAAGAAAUUGACUGUGAUGGGUUUGAACCUGUGACCUCCGGGUUACUGUUCCAGUGCUCUACCAGAUGAGCUAUCCAUCGCUAUGUUAGCAGUUCCCCUUUUCAUCAGUGUCUUUGUUCAAGCAUUAGUGGAACACCGGAACAGCAAUCUAAAGGUUACAGGUUCAAACCUAUAGUCUGAGUAUCACCCGUUAUCCUCAGAGCCAAGUCUCUUGUAUAAAAGUCUAAUUCAUCAAAGUAUGCAGAUUUAUGCAAUCACGUGGCUCAGCCAAUCGGAGUCGACUUUACUAAAUCAUGACGUCAUUUCAUUCCCAAAUCAGACUAAAUGGUGUGAUUGGUCAAUUCAAAUGCAGUGUUUUGUAAUACAACAAUUUGUAAUACAACAGCCCGGCGCCUAUCGCGUAACAUGAUACAGAGCGCAUGACCACAGCCUUUGUUGCAGUGUCCAGGGUAUUUUUUUAUUCAUGUCUAUGACGCAACAACGUUGAAUGACCAAACAUCCGAUAUAGAAAGCGCCCGCUGAUUGGUCAAAAUCGGAGGUCAAUGCCAUGGUCUAUGUAGUUCAAACCCCCCUCCAGUCAAUUUCUUUCUUCAACUUUAAACAAUUAUUAUAACGCACCUAGUAGUUCUCUUUAUGGUUUAAUUGAAUCCUUCUUAUUUAUGGAAAAUACAUAUUAUCCAAGGAUAAAUCCACUACAGUAAAAUGGAUAAGAAAAAAUUUGAGGGGGAAAAGACAAAAAGGAUCACUGAAGGGUGAAGUUAAGGUUUUUGUUGAAUCGGAUGAAUUUGGAAGAGUAUAAACAUAUGAAUCUGAUUAAUUUAAAAAGUAUAAAAGUGUUUUAGUCAGACGAGUUUUAACACUCUCAUCGUAAUUAAAGCUGAGUGGAAUGGAACAUUCCAUAGGUCACUGAAUGAAAUUAUUCUUUCCAUUGCCAGAAUGUGAAACAUUUUUGUUUUAUACAAAUGCCUCAAUAAAUCAUUGUCAUCUGAUUGGUUACUUGCAAACUGGUACUAUAUGAAUGUACAGCAUCAGAGCCAUCAGAGCUGUGUUUAUAGCGCAACCAGUAGUGUGACCUUUGACCUUGCAAUGGAAGUUCUAUUUAGUGGAACUUCUAUUUUGGAGUGUGACUGCGCAAUUCGUUGGAACGAAUAAUUCAAUGACGUGAUCAACGACCCAUCAAUAAGAUUAUGGGGAUUUAUUCGUGCAGUAUGAAAUAUCCUACUUGAUUGCAAGUAACUAAAUGUGAUGAUUUAAGCAUCCUGUGAAAUCGCAGCUCCUGGUAUGCUGUCAUCUUCAAGAAAAGAUAACUAGCUUCCUUGUUGACGGUGGAACUCUUUUAGUUUGACAAACACUCCCCUCUAACAUUGGAAAGCAUACUUCUGAAUGUGGAGUAAAGGAAGCCAAGGGUUUGAGUUCCUUCUGGACAAACUACGGAAAGUUUCUACCGAGUCUGGAAUGAGGAAAUAUCCGUCAUGUCUGCCAACAAGAUGAAAAUGAAGAGUGUUUCAUGACAGCACUUUCUACUCCCUGAUUUGUCGGGCACACAACUGACCCAUCCACACUCACUGCAAUUUGGAAAUCUUUCAAUAUUCAAACCCUUUUCCCCUGACUUGAGCUUUUGCAUCAUAAAUGAUUUGCAAAUGUCAGACUAGGAGGUUUUUUCUUAUUAUUAUAGUUAUUUGUUUCUUGAAAUGAAUUGAAGUGGAUUCUCCACUGGCACUUGUGUAACUAACUGUACAGGGUGAGUCAAAAAGUGAGAGACCAAGUUAGAACUAGCAAGCACGCAGAGAACGCAAACCUCCAUUAAGGCUUAACAAUUCUCUGCCGUAUUGUCAGUACACCUAAAAGAAAUACUGGCAAUAAUGGUGAAGAUUCCUGUGAAAAAAAAUCCUGGAUCGAGAUCACUUCCAAAGUCUAAUCGAUCUGUACUUUGCAGCAAGGACCACCUUAAAAAGUUUGUUUUGCAAAUCCAUCCAUAACUUUUUGAGUUUCCUUGUUAACAGACAAACCAACCAACCAACAAAUUAAUCAAACCCGAUGAAAGCAUAACCUCCUUGUUGGUGGUAUAUGUAAUAAAUGCAAAACGUAUGUUGCUCGCUCUAUUUGAUAAAUAUAACAGGAUGUUGUUUACUGGUAGCUGUGAAGAUUUCAAGUGCUAUGGGUACUCUAUUCACAAGUUAUUUCUGUUUUAAUACAUAUAUACCAAAAUGCAGCUGUCCACUACUUAUCAUUAACGAUACGCAUUGAUGAUUCCCCUUUUUAUGUAGGCCUACAAUAAGCCAUGGAGGUUUUCCUACUCUACAUGAAUGAAUGAAAACUUGUAAAGGAAAGAAACAAAAAUCACCAUCAUCGUUUCAGAAAAAGACUUGAUGUGUUCUUUAUAUACAAAACACAAAAUCUGAGAGUGAAAUAAUGUCUGAGUUUUGACACAAAUUAUUACAAUCUCAUUUGUAUUUGAACGCCCAAAUGUAAUCUCUGGUUCUAACUCAGCUGAAUAGCUUCAGAAUGGCAUUCCAUGGACAGGUAUAAAAAUGGGUUAUUUUAGUAAAACAUGCGUAACUGCUGAUUGCAUGGAUCUAUGCCAGUAAUUCUCUCUUUUUUAGAUAAGGGGAAGAACAUGCUCUUUUAAAACAUGCUUUAUUGGGUUUUUUUGUGUCAAACUUAAUCGUUGUAAGGAAAAAAAUCAUCAGUGAAGGUCACUUUAUGUUUGGCACACCCAGUGGAGAAAGCUGAAGAGUGAAAUGUUCUAUUUAAGAGGCGGAAGUAAAACCCCAUUAAUUGUUUUGUGGAAAUCAGUGGAUCAGAUCGAGACGGAAAGCCUCAAUUCACAAGUGGGCCUUGGUGGGAUUUGAACCUAGGCCAUCCAGUUGAAAGGUUAGAAAAGUUGCACUGCAUUAACCUGCACUCCUGGCAUUUAGCUUAGAAGUUUUUUUAGUAGCUUUUGUUUUAAACUUGGCAUUUGCCAUAUGAAUUUCAUAAACAUGUAGUUACUUUCAUUGAUUUCGUUAAAAGUUGAACUAAGAAAUUGACUGUGAUGGAUUUGAACCUGCGACAUCCGGGUUACUGUCCAGUGCUCUACCAGAUGAGCUAUCCAUCCCUAUGUUAGCAGUUCCCCUUUUCAUCAGUGUCUUUGUUCAAGCAUUAGUGGAACACCGGAACAGCAAUCUAAAGGUUACAGGUUCAAACCUAUAGUCUGAGUAUCACCCGUUAUCCUCAGAGUCAAGUCUCUUGUAUAAAAGUCUAAUUCAUCAAAGUAUGCAGAUUUAUGCAAUCACGUGGCUCAGCCAAUCGGAGUCGACUUUACUAAAUCAUGACGUCAUUUCAUUCCCAAAUCAGACUAAAUGGUGUGAUUGGUCAAUUCAAAUGCAGUGUUUUGUAAUACAACAAUUUGUAAUACAACAGCCCGGCGCCUAUCUCGUAACAUGAUACAGAGCGCAUGACCACAGCCUUUGUUGCAGUGUCCAGGGUAUUUUUUUAUUCAUGUCUAUGACGCAACAACGUUGAAUGACCAAACAUCCGAUAUAGAAAGCGCCCGCUGAUUGGUCAAAAUCGGAGGUCAAUGCCAUGGUCUAUGUAGUUCAAACCCCCCGCUCCAGUCAAUUUCUUUCUUCAACUUUAAACAAUUAUUAUAACGCACCUAGUAGUUAUCUUUAUGGUUUAAUUGAAUCAUUCUUAUUUAUGGAAGUUACAUAUUACCCAAGGAUAAAUCCACUACAGUAAAAUGGAUAAGAAAAAAUUUGAGGGGGGAAAGGCAAAAAGGAUCACUGAAGGGUGAAGUUAAGGUUUUUGUUGAAUCGGAUGAAUUUGGAAGAGUAUAAACAUAUGAAUCUGAUUAAUUUAAAAAAGUAUAAAAGUGUUUUAGUCAGACCAGUUUUAACACUCUCAUCGUAAUUAAAGCUGAGUGGAAUGGAACAUUCCAUAGGUCACUGAAUGAAA